rnacentral:tRNA from 1 species
CGCGCGUUACACUUCGGGUGAGGCGGCCAAUCUCGAAUCAGCCUGUCCUUCAAACCGGUGAGGCCGGGUUCGAGUCCCGCACGCGCGA